UGAGGGAGCAGCAUCUAAGGUAAAAGCUUAAUAACGAAGGCAUUGGUGAUCUGGCCCGUUCACAGUUUUGGUACACCCAUCCAGAGAAACUAGGGAAAGAAAUCAAAGAUACGGAGAGAGGCAGAGGAAAUUUCCCAUUGAAUUUCCAGUCAAUUUGGGCCAGUCCCCACCUCCUCUCUCUCUCUCUCUCUCUCUCUCUUUACUAGCUAUUAAUACCCCUGGCUACUACUGUUGCUCUCUCAAUAGUAGUACUGUAGUAGUACCAUCUUCAUAUUCCUUCCGGCUAGUUUUCCUUUUAUCUCUAGCUGUUCACUGUUGUGGGCUUGCCAAUUUCAAUUGAAACUGUAACGCAAGAAAAGCCAGCAAAAAACAAACAAAAAAUCAUGGAUGGAGCACCAGGGUACCAGGGGAUGUCUUACCAGGAGCACCUCCAAAGGCGUCGUGAAGAAAAAGGCGUGCUUUAUACUUGUUUGUUCGCAUUAUGUUGCUGUUUCUGCUGCUACGAGACCUGUGAAUGCUGCUUAGACGUUGUCUGCUGUUGCUGCACCUGAUUAUAUGGGAUACUUCAUCUCAUCUGAUGUUAAUAUACUGAAUAAAACGUUUUGGUACAAUGAAUAACCGUUUUAUAUGGGAUACCCCUCAGAAGAGGGGACGGUGGAGUUUGGCACUUAUCGCUUGUGUAUGGUGACUUGCUCUCUCUAUGGAUUAGUAUUUUACAGCUGUUGUUUAC